rnacentral:rRNA from 1 species
UACGUAGGUGGCGAGCGUUGUCCGGAAUUACUGGGUGUAAAGGGCGUGUAGGCGGGGGUGCAAGUCAGAUGUGAAAGACCAUGGCUCAACUGUGGGGGUGCAUCUGAAACUGUGUCUCUUGAGUGCUGGAGAGGGAAGCGGAAUUCCUAGUGUAGCGGUGAAGUGCGUAGAUAUUAGGAGGAACACCGGUGGCGAAGGCGGCUUCCUGGACAGCAACUGACGCUGAGGCGCGAAAGCGUGGGUAGCGAACAGGAUUAGAUACCCUGGUAGUCCACGCCGUAAACGAUGGAUACUAGGUGUAGGAGGUAUCGACCCCUUCUGUGCCGCAGUAAACACAAUAGGUAUCCCACCUGGGGAGUACGGUCGCAAGACUGAA